AGAAGACAGCGCCCUGGCGUAUCUAGUCUAUGUGUAUCUAUGGUCGGCACGUCUGGUAGCAUCUCUGGCUGCUGUUGAUCUUGUUUUUGGAGUAAAACACGUGGAAGCUGAAUUAGUGAGGAUGACUCCUGCUCCUGUCAUCUCUAAGCUCCUCACACAUCUUUACCUGCACAUGAGGAAAAUCACUCCUGUAGAAUGCAGUGGUUCAUCAGAACCUCUGGGGAUGUCCUGUGGAUUCUGUGGAUCCUGUGGGUUGCAGGGUGGGUCCUACCUAGACCAGGCUGAUCCUGGACCAUCCCACAGAUGCUCCAUCAGAUCUGGAUGUGGGGAGUGUGGAACCCAGG
ensembl:lncRNA